AUUGAACGCUGGCGGCAGGCCUAACACAUGCAAGUCGAGCGAGCGGCGGACGGGUGAGUAAUGUAUGGGGACUGCCCGCUAGAGGGGGAUAACUACUGGAAACGGUGGCUAAUACAGCAUACUCUCGGAUACGCCAUAUGGGAUUAGCUAGUAGGUGUGGUAAAGGCUCACCGAGGCGACGAUCUCUCGCUGGUCUGAGAGGAUGAUCAGCCACACUGGGAAUGAGAACAGGCCCAGACGCGUACGGAGGCAGAAGUGGGGAAUAUUGCACAAUGGGCGCAAGCCUGAUGCAGCCAUGCCGCGUGUAUGAAGAAGGCCUUAGGGUUGUAAAGUACUUUCAGCGGGGAGGCGUUACCCGCAGAAGAAGCACCGGCUAACGCCGUGCCAGCAGCCGCGGUAAUAC
rnacentral:rRNA from 1 species